AUGUUAUUUAUUUUUAAUAAAACAGGUAUUACCGUCUCUAAGCCAGACCUGAUCACCUGUCUGGAGCAAGGAAAAGAGCCUUGGAAUAUGAAAAGACAUGGAGUGAUAGCCAAACCCCCAGGAGUGCCACCUGUCAAUUAUCAAGAAAAAAAUUGCCACUUUAGUCACUGCUUGACAAGCAUGAACUUGCACCUAAAUAAUCACAUGUUGAUUCUUUUCCUGAGACAUCACUUACUGCAGGGAUACUCUCAAAUGCCUAGAAAAAUGCUAUCUGCAAUAGUAAAGCUGCAAGAACCAAACGACAGAGAGCUCCUACCAGCAUACAGUGGCACCCUUGGCACAGUUGGAUUCUACUAGCAAUUUGGAACCAGAAAUAGUAGGAUCAUAUUAAAUUAAUGACUUAAUGUUCUCUAAAUAUUAGGAUUACACUCCAUUACCAGUAACAAAAUAGUUGGGUAUGGAUUAAUAAUAUGUGUACAAUGAUUUAUUGACUAUAUUUAUGUAAUUUUAUUGAUAUACUCCAUGUUAUAAACCAUACAUCAAAAAGAAAUGAUGUAAAUAGUUAGAUAAAAUAACAUUGAUAAUGUUAGCAUUUUCUUCUCCCACUACCAAUAGACAUUGAGCUCACCCUCUCUAAUUCAUGCCCUUCCCUCUGUUAAGUGGCCAUCACACACUGAAAAGGACUUGACUUUCUGAAUUAUCAAAUGGUGUAUUUCUCCAUGAGAACCUGAAGGGCAUUGCUACUGAGCCUGGACAGGAAAGAACCAUGGUCCCCAUGGAACAGGUGUACAAAUAAUUACUUUUAAUAAUAAAUUAUUUUUAUUGUAUAUUUAAAAAAUAUAUCU
rnacentral:lncRNA from 1 species